rnacentral:rRNA from 1 species
AGCGAACGCUGGCGGCAGGCCUAACACAUGCAAGUCGAACGAAGUCUUCGGACUUAGUGGCGGACGGGUGCGUAACGCGUAUGCAACCUACCUUAAUCAGGGGGAUAGCCCGAAGAAAUUCGGAUUAACACCGCAUAAAAACACAGGAUAGCAUUAUCCAAUGUUCAAAUAUUUAUAGGAUUAAGAUGGGCAUGCGUGUC